rnacentral:lncRNA from 1 species
ACGGCAGCUGGGCGGGGACACAGCGGCCUUGGGUUUGGGCUCCAGCCCCAGCCGGGCCCCCUCGCGCCGCUGCGGCUGCUGCGCGGUGAGGUCGUGACAAGUCACAGCUAACUUGCCCUCCGCGCCAUUCCACGCCACCAGGAAGCGCAGCCGGUGCCUCUCGGCAUCGGCGAAGAGGCCUUGCCGGACCGGCGCCCAGCCCUCCAGGCUGUCGAGCUGCUCGUCCUCCAUGGCCGUCGGCGGCAGCGGCCCUAGGACUCGGCGGGCGCGGGCCUGACCUCGCCGCACUGCCUGUCAGGGGACAGUCCCAGGCAUAACUGAAGGUGAAAGGACAGAAUCACCAUGUGUUACUGGCACAGAUGCAUCGGCUAGUGAAGAAAGAAGACAUUCAAACUAGUCCCGCUCUGUCGCCCAGUCUGGAGUGCAGCAGCGCCAUCAUAGCUCACUGCCACCUAGAAGCCGGGGUGAAGCAAUCCUCCUCCAUCAGCCUUCAGAGUAGCUGGGACUACCUGCGCGGCCCACCACACCCGGCUAAUCUUUGUGGUUUUUGUUUUGUUUUCC